CGGACGCGCCCGCUUCUCGCUGGAGUGCGCACCGAGCGGCAGUGACUUCGCCGCUGCUGUAGUUCCCCGGCUGGAUGCGGUGACUGGUGCCAGUGCUCAGGCGCCCGCUGCCCUUGACCUCCCGCCCCGCGAGCCCUAACUCAGCGCAGGAGGACCGGCUGCCGCCGCCGCCGCCGCCAGGUGUUGGUGUCACCCAUGAUCUAUCCUCCUGUAUGGCCAAAUCCCCUGCCCCCAUAGGCCACAGAUGCCAUGGCCCACGUGGCCGGCUUCACUGUGGCUCAUGACGUGAGUGCUCGUGACUGGCUAACAAGAUGCAAUGGGAAACAGUGGCUGCUGGGAAAAACCUUCGACACCUUCUGCCCUCUGGGCCCUGCCUUGGUGACCAAGGACAGUGUAGCAGAUCCACACAACUUAAAGAUCUGCUGUCGAGUGAAUGGGGAAGUGGUCCAGAGCAGCAACACCAACCAGAUGGUAUUCAAGACAGAGGACCUGAUAGCCUGGGUGUCCCAGUUUGUUACCUUUUACCCAGGGGAUGUCAUCCUGACUGGGACCCCCCCACCUCCACCCAGGUGUCGGUGUAUUCAGGAAACCUCCUGUCUUUCUCAAGGUCUCUGAAGGUCCAGACAGCACUGAUGGCGAGCUUUGGGUCCGCACACUCUGGAAAGAAGAGAGAAGUGAAGGCUCUAGGUAGGGAGAACAGAGAGCCACUGGGCACAGGCUUCUCUCCUCUUGUUUAAAGAAGCCCAGGGAGGGAUAGAGCUCUGACUGGACAGAAGACUGUACUCUGCAGCCUGCCUUCCUAGAGUUGGGUUGUCACUGUCCUGCAGGGGGCAGCAGCCACCAGCAAACACCACUGCCUGCAGGAGCCUGGGCUGACUGGUUGGGACUCACCGAAGAUCCCUUCUUCCUGGGCGGUGGCCUGCAGGAACUGGAACAGCUGCUCUGUGUAGCCCAACUCUGCAGAAGAGAGAAGACCUAGACCUGGCACCCAGCACAGACACAGCCUGCCUCGAGGACUGCAAGGGAACAAGGGCCUCACCAGUAUCGGGCAGCUGGCCCUGGCGGAGGAAGGCGGCAGCCUGUGCAAAGGCCUUGAGCAGCGGGCUGAGCAGGCGGCAGAGGAAAAGAAAGAAAUCUGGGCAGUGUGACUGCUGGCUGAGCUGGAGGGGACAGGCCGGGGUGAGUGCAGCUCCCCACCGCCUCCCUACCACCUCCCUCCAGGGGCAGCUUUUUGAAACACACCCUGAAGUACCGGCCGUCAGCCUCUCCGAAGUCAUCACUGUCACUAUCAGUAAAGUCCCCACUCGGUUUCCACAGCA
rnacentral:lncRNA from 1 species